AGCUAUAAUUGAUUAUUUCCCCCUCUCUUUACUGCUGAAGAAACAUAAAAUGAAAAUGAUUCGUAUUUUUUUUAUGUGUAUGGAUCUAUAUAAUGAGAUGUGACAAAGUUUACACUAGUUGUUACCUAAUGCAACCAUCCUCUUUUAUCUAGGCUUGGGACCUGGCUACAUAUGAUCUAAUUGAGCUAUAUACCUAAGCAGAAUAUGAGUUAGGAAUUAGGAUGGUAUAUAAAUGUAUAUAUACAUUUGGUUUAUAUGCAUAUCAUGUGCAUAUUAUUUUGUAAGCAUUCUAUCAAUCAUGUUUUGUAGUAUACUAGUUUUCAAUAUUAAUAUAAU
rnacentral:misc_RNA from 1 species